UCUCACUUUAACCCAAAGACUCUUCCACAGGUUAAAGUGUUAUGGGUUCUUUCCCAUGUUGGGAGAGUUGCACAGGUUAUAACCAUCAUAGAAGUUGUGUUUGCCCAGAAAGCUUUUGCUGUCAGUCCCCCAGGACUAGAUUCUUGGAGGCUACUGUUAGAGCAGUCUCAGUAGAUGGACUCUGGCCCUGAAAUCACUUUCUGUGGGAUAAUCAAAGCUAGAGUUUGACAACAUCCAAGUUGUGUUGCAAAUCCUUUUAUUUUAGAUACUUACCAGAUGAUGGAGGCAAACAGUUUUGCAAGAUUUGUUGGCUACCAGAUGCAGCCUUGAGAUCCCAGCCAUCCUUGUUAUCAAUGGCCAAAAGGCUGCAAAGACUCAGGAAGAAGCAAGAACGACCUUUCGCAUGAAGUCAUGCAGCAGUCCCUUACUGACAAAGUACAGAAGUGGUAGGAGACCGAAAGGAGGCUCUGCCAGCAGAAUGCGGAUCACCGGCAACAAACCAUGGAGUGGCUUCUAAGCAUUAUGGAUUCCCCAAGUGAACUUGAUGCAGGCGCUCAUUGCACUGCAUACGGAACAGAUCUGUGCUCCAACCCCCACCCCACAGCCCUUGUCCCAAAACUUUCUCUUGUGCCCCCUAUGACACCACCAAACUACUUUCCCCAACAUCUGGUUUAUCACCACCACCAGCUGCCUCCAACAUCUGUAGCUUCACCACCCAGCCCACAAACCAAGACCCUUACCCACUGCACUCAACCCCCAUCACCAUGCAUUUUAGCCAGCCUGAAGUGCAGCACUCACUUCAUGGCACAAAAGGCUGAAUAUGAUAACUGGACAUACACAAAUCUGUGAUUGUUCUGUUCCCCACCCUGCUCCCUUCCCUCCUCCUACACAGCACAGAUGUGUCAUGCUAUGUGUGUUUCCCCAGCAGUUGUUUCUUUUCAAUAAAUGAAUUUUUUGGUUUUGGAAA